CCUACGGGACGCACCAGUGGGGAAUAUUGCACAAUGGGCGCAAGCCUGAUGCAGCCAUGCCGCGUGUAUGAAGAAGGCCUUAGGGUUGUAAAGUACUUUCAGUUGGGAGGAAGGCGUUGAUGCUAAUAUCAUCAAUGAUUGACGUUACCAACAGAAGAAGCACCGGCUAACUCCGUGCCAGCAGCCGCGGUAAUACGGAGGGUGCAAGCGUUAAUCGGAAUUACUGGGCGUAAAGCGCACGCAGGCGGUUGAUAAAGUUAGAUGUGAAAUCCCCGGGCUUAGCCUGGGAAUGGCAUCUAAGACUGGUCAGCUAGAGUCUUGUAGAGGGGGGGUAGAAUUCCAUGUGUAGCGGUGAAAUGCGUAGAGAUGUGGAGGAAUACCGGUGGCGAAGGCGGCCCCCUGGACAAAGACUGACGCUUAGGUGCGAAAGCGUGGGGAGCAAACAGGAUUAGAUACCCCUGUAGUC
rnacentral:rRNA from 1 species